rnacentral:rRNA from 1 species
GUCUACGGCCAUACCACCCUGAACGCGCCCUAUCUCGUCUGAUCUCAGAAGCUAAGCAGGGUCGGGCCUGGUUAGUACUUGGAUGGGAGACCGCCUGGGAAUACCAGGUGCUGUAGGCU